CUCCAUAUGUUCUAACCAUCCCUCAUAGGGAGCUUGCAGGGGAAGAGAGCAGAGUACAAAUAACACAGCUUGAAGACACACAUUUACUAACUGUAUUGAAAUAUUGGUUGAAGUGUACGUUCUAGAAAUUAUUUCAAGAGGAGAAAAGCUCUGUCUGCUGUGUUAAGAAGCUGUCUGGCAGAACAGGUAUCUAAAGUUCCAAGGGAAGGAGAGGAGAGUUAGAAACUCUGUCUUGCAUUAUGCUGCUCUAAACUUCACACUUCAGAGGAAAUUAAGAAAGUGAUCACAGCAAAACACACAGUGACUCAUGUUCAGAAGAUAUUCCUCAAGCAAUCAUAAAAAAACCUUUCUCGUCCCAAAAUGUUGGCCAGCUGCUGAAGACGACUCCAAUCACAAAAUGAAAUCUUCAUUAAAAGUGUUAUAUCCUGAAAGGUUUAACAGUCACUAUGGCUGGGAUAUUUUUUAUUGCAACUUUCCCCUCCCUGUCAUGGUGUACUAUUUUCAACUGGUUUAAUGUAGCAGUCCCUAUGAAACUGAUGUUAUGAAUAAUUAUUAGGAGAGCUUAUACAGGCUGUGUGUUGUGCCUUUGCAUCCCAAAGGAGUUUCAUAAGGAGAAGAGAGCUGAUGCACCCUGGUUUUUGUUCGUAUUGAAAUACGAGUAAUAAAACCAACCUCCUUGCAAGGGCAUAAAACAUUCUUUUGUAUUCUAGAAAAUAUAGUAGAAUAUUAAAACUCA